rnacentral:rRNA from 1 species
GACGAACGCUGGCGGCGUGCUUAACACAUGCAAGUCGAACGGAAAGGCCCUGCUUUUGUGGGGUGCUCGAGUGGCGAACGGGUGAGUAACACGUGAGUAACCUGCCCUUGACUUUGGGAUAACUUCAGGAAACUGGGGCUAAUACCGGAUAGGAGCUCCUGCUGCAUGGUGGGGGUUGGAAAGUUUCGGCGGUUGGGGAUGGACUCGCGGCUUAUCAGCUUGUUGGUGGGGUAGUGGCUUACCAAGGCUUUGACGGGUAGCCGGCCUGAGAGGGUGACCGGCCACAUUGGGACUGAGAUACGGCCCAGACUCCUACGGGAGGCAGCAGUGGGGAAUAUUGACAAUGAGCGGAAGCCUGAUGCAGCAACGCCGCGUGCGGGAUGACGGCCUUCGGGUUGUAAACCGCUUUCGCCUGUGACGAAGCGUGAGUGACGGUAAUGGGUAAAGAAGCACCGGCUAACUACGUG